CCUACGGGAGGCAGCAGUAGGGAAUCUUCCACAAUGGGCGAAAGCCUGAUGGAGCAACGCCGCGUGGGUGAAGAAGGUCUUCGGAUCGUAAAACCCUGUUGUUAGAGAAGAAAGUGCGUGAGAGUAACUGUUCACGUUUCGACGGUAUCUAACCAGAAAGCCACGGCUAACUACGUGCCAGCAGCCGCGGUAAUACGUAGGUGGCAAGCGUUAUCCGGAUUUAUUGGGCGUAAAGGGAACGCAGGCGGUCUUUUAAGUCUGAUGUGAAAGCCUUCGGCUUAACCGGAGUAGUGCAUUGGAAACUGGGAGACGUGAGUGCAGAAGAGGAGAGUGGAACUCCAUGUGUAGCGGUGAAAUGCGUAGAUAUAUGGAAGAACACCAGUGGCGAAAGCGGCUCUCUGGUCUGGAACUGACGCUGAGGUUCGAAAGCGUGGGUAGCAAACAGGAUUAGAUACCCCUUAGUC
rnacentral:rRNA from 1 species